UAUCGCUGAAUCUCCUAUAUGGGAGAGCGGGGGAACCAUUUUUCUUGGGGUGAAUCCCACCAUUCAUCGGUGGGUAGGGUUAUGCCGAGACCCGAACCCGUCAGCUAACCUCGUAAGCGUGGA
rnacentral:sRNA from 1 species